AGCAGUAGCCACGGUAAUACAGAGGGUGCGAGCGUUAAUCGGAUUUACUGGGCGUAAAGCGUGCGUAGGCGGCUUUUUAAGUCGGAUGUGAAAUCCCUGAGCUUAACUUAGGAAUUGCAUUCGAUACUGGGAAGCUAGAGUAUGGGAGAGGAUGGUAGAAUUCCAGGUGUAGCGGUGAAAUGCGUAGAGAUCUGGAGGAAUACCGAUGGCGAAUGCAGCCAUCUGGCCUAAUACUGACGCUGAGGUACGAAAGCAUGGGGAGCAAACAGGAUUAGAUACCCCUGUAGUCCCUGUCUCUUAUAC
rnacentral:rRNA from 1 species